AUUGAACGCUGGCGGCAGGCCUAACACAUGCAAGUCGAGCGGAUGAAGGGAGCUUGCUCCUGGAUUCAGCGGCGGACGGGUGAGUAAUGCCUAGGAAUCUGCCUGGUAGUGGGGGAUAACGUCCGGAAACGGGCGCUAAUACCGUAUACGUCCUGAGGGAGAAAGUGGGGGAUCUUCGGACCUCACGCUAUCAGAUGAGCCUAGGUCGGAUUAGCUAGUUGGUGGGGUAAAGGCCUACCAAGGCGACGAUCCGUAACUGGUCUGAGAGGAUGAUCAGUCACACUGGAACUGAGACACGGUCCAGACUCCUACGGGAGGCAGCAGUGGGGAAUAUUGGACAAUGGGCGAAAGCCUGAUCCAGCCAUGCCGCGUGUGUGAAGAAGGUCUUCGGAUUGUAAAGCACUUUAAGUUGGGAGGAAGGGCAGUAAGUUAAUACCUUGCUGUUUUGACGUUACCAACAGAAUAAGCACCGGCUAACUUCGUG
rnacentral:rRNA from 1 species